rnacentral:rRNA from 1 species
UCGGAGAGGGAGCCUGAGAAACGGCUACCACGUCUAAGGAUGGCAGCAGGCGCGUAAAUUACCCAAUUCUGACAUAGAGAGGUAGUGACAAGAAAUAGCAACGUGAGGCAAUAGCUUUGCGAUUGCAAUGAGUAGAAUCUACACGUUUCUACGAGUAACAAUUGGAGGGCAAGUCUGGUGCCAGCAGCCGCGGUAAUUCCAGCUCCAAUAGCGUAUAUUAAAGUUGUUGCAGUUAAAACGCUCGUAGUUGAAUAUCUGCUAUAUGUGGUCGGUCCACUUCGGUGUGAUCCGUUUCACGAAAUAGCAUUCGUUUGCUUUGAUUUAUCAUUGCAAACCGUUUACUUUGAGGAAAUUAGAGUGUUCAAAGCAGGCAAGUGCCUUGAAUACUUCAGCAUGGAAUAAUUGAUAGGACUUCCGUUCUGUCGUUGGUUCUGGGAAUGUGAAGUAAUGAUUAAAAGGGGCGGGCGGGGGCAUUCGUAUUGAACAGUCAGAGGUGAAAUUCUUAGAUUUGUUCAAGACGAACUACUGCGAAAGCAUUUGCCAAGUACGUUCCCAUUAAUCAAGAACGAAAGUUAGGGGAUCGAAGACGAUCAGAUACCGUCGUAGUCUUAACUAUAAACUAUGCCGACUAGAGAUUGGAGGUGAGUCAUUUGGCCACCUUCAGCAUCUUCAGAGAAAUCUAAGUUUUUGGGUUCUGGGGGGAGUAUGGUCGCAAGGCUGAAACUUAAAGGAAUUGACGGAAGGGCACCACCAGGAGUGGAGCCUGCGGCUUAAUUUGACUCAACACGGGGAAAACUCACCAGGUCCAGACAUGGGGAGGAUUGACAGACUGAUAGCUCUUCCUUGAUUCUAUGGGUGGUGGUGCAUGGCCGUUCUUAGUUCGUGGACUGAUUUGUCUGGUUGAUUCCGAUAACGAGCGAGAUCUUAACCUGCUAACUAGGUCUUCAGAAUGCGUUCUGAUGUGUCUUCUUAGAGGGACUUUGCAUAUUUAGUGUAAGGAGGUUUGGGGCAAUAACAGGUCGGUGAUGCCCUUAGAUGUUCUGGGCUGCACGCGCGCUACAAUGACACUCUCAGCGAGUUUCCUUUCCCGAAAGGGUUGGGUAAUCUUGUUAAUGAAUGUCGUAAUGGGGAUAGAAUAUUGUAAUUAUUGCUCUUAGACGAGGAAUUCCCAGUAAGCGCAAGUCAACAGCUUGCGCUGAUUACGUCCCUGCCCUUUGUACACACCGCCCGUCGCUGCUACCGAUGGGUGAUCCGGUGAAUGAUUUGGACUUUGUCUAUGCUAGCUACUAGCUAUGUCAGGGAAAACUUUGUGAACCUUAUCACUUGGAGGAAGCAGAAGUCGUAAC